AGGUUUUAACUAAAAUAUCCAUCAGAAGUAGCAUCCCCCCGUGCCUUUAUUAAGGGCAUAGUUAGCACUAGUCCAAUGGGCAUGAGUUGGAUUAUUUUUAGAGCAAUAUACAAAACAGCUGAUAGGGCGCCUAUGGCUCAGUGGAAAGAGUUUGUCUUUGAAGGUUGUGGAUAUGAUUACAGCUUUCCAUAAAGCAGGAGUGUCUAGAGAGCAUCCUGGGGGCCAUUCGUGGCCCACUGAAAGGAUUUUAUGUGGCCCCUCCUACUAUAAUCCAAGAAUGGAGCAAAUCCAGCCUGGAAGCACAGGUGGUUUUAAUCUAAAAGUUACCCUAAAAUAAAAAAUUACGUUCAACAAAUAAUAUUUCUCAUUUUAUAAAUCAGGGUCUGCAUUUAUCUUAAUUUUGAAGUAAAAAACCCCUACAAAGAUCUAAUAACUUUUACUCAAAAGGAGACUUAAAAUAAUUACAAACAUCUUUAAGUACAUCAAGUAGUGCAGUAUUAUCACUAUACCACACACAAUAGACUGUUCUUAAAUAUAUUUUUAAAGUCCAGAAGAAGCUAGGCUGCAAGUGGGGAGGCAGUGUUAUGCAUUCCCAGCCAUACAAUCUAUUGGCUAAAACUGACUGCAUUGGGUGGAUCUGUGACAACUGCUUACUAGUGAACGCUGACGGGAUACAAAACCUUAAUUAUUUCCCCUGAGAUCAGGAUAACUGGUGUAUUGGCUUCUUCUAUCAAACCAAAACCAAGAAACCUUGGCAUUAAAUACUAUUCUUUCAUGUAAUUGGAGCGUUGUUGUCAUGGAUUAAUCAGAAACUGGCUCCAUUUUUUUCUUUUCAGCUGAGAAGUAUUUUAAGCUUCAAGGACUCUGGUGUCAAAGGGAGAAUUAGAGAUGAGUUGUCGUGCUUUAAUUUCAUCUUAGUUGGCUACUAUAACCGUAUUUUUACAUGUUUCAAAAUGAAAGAUCUUCAUCGCUUCCAUUCAGCUCAAAAUGCUGCUGCAAGACUUAACCAGCACUAAACAGAGAUAGCACAUUUUCCCAACUUUAAAUGGGACACGUCAUUCUUUGAAGUUCUUUCUCUUCACGUUUAGAUCCUUCAGUUGUGGUCUAUAUAAAGUGGAACUGCAAUGCCUUGGUCUGAAUUCCUUGUUAUUAAAUCAUAAAUUAUUUUCCAUUAGACUUCAAAACCGCCCCACGCUUUUAGCUUGUUCUAUGCUGUAUGAUGUAUACAGUUAUGUAUUGUGUUUUUAUCAGCUGUGUUUUUAUGCCUGUUUUUAAUUAUAAAGCACUUCGUGGUUUUUGAUCUGUAAAAAAAAGUGAUAAAAAGUUUACUUACUUCUUCGAUAUACUUUAUCACCAUGCAUUUUUAUUAAUAUCUGAUGGAAUGCCACAAAUCUGCAUUGACUAUUGAUUUAUUUAAUAUUCCAAAACCGAGGGAAACUUCCUCCGGACGACCAGCAUUGAUUUGACCAGCAAAGUGAAAUGUGGACCAGCUACUGUUUGCCCAGCAGCACAUCUACAAGUGCUAAACAAAGGAAGAUGUGACUACAGCUCCAUGGGGGGAACAAAACUGUCCAUGUUCCUAGCUUGAAGACAUUACUGCUGAUGUUAUGUUCGUCUGUAAAUAAAAGUUUGAAAGUC